rnacentral:rRNA from 1 species
AAGCGUUGUCCGGAUUUACUGGGCGUAAAGAGCGCGCWGGCGGUCGUUCAAGUCGCGUGUGAAAGCCCCCGGCUCAACUGGGGAGGGUCACGCGAUACUGAUCGACUCGAAGGCAGGAGAGGGUAGUGGAAUUCCCGGUGUAGUGGUGAAAUGCGUAGAUAUCGGGAGGAACACCAGUGGCGAAGGCGACUACCUGGCCUGUUCUUGACGCUGAGGCGCGAAAGCUAGGGGAGCAAACGGGAUUAGAUACCCCGGUAGUCCUAGCCGUAAACGAUGGACACUAGGUGUUGGUGGUAUCAACCCCGCCAGUGCCGAAGCUAACGCAUUAAGUGUCCCGCCUGGGGAGUACGGCCGCAAGGCUA